GAUGAACGCUGGCGGCGUGCCUAAUACAUGCAAGUCGAACGCAUUGAGAGAAGUGCUUGCACUUUUCAAUUUGAGUGGCGAACGGGUGAGUAACACGUGGGCAACCUACCUGAUAGCGGGGGAUAACGAGUGGAAACAUUCGCUAAUACCGCAUAACAAUAGAGAAGGCAUCUUCUUUAUUUAAAAGGCGCUUUCAAGCGUCACUAUCAGAUGGGCCCGCGGUGCAUUAGUUAGUUGGUGGGGUGAAGGCCUACCAAGACGAUGAUGCAUAGCCGAGUUGAGAGACUGAUCGGCCACAUUUGGACUGAGACACGGCCCAAACUCCUACGGGAGGCUGCAGUAGGGAAUCUUCCACAAUGGACGAAAGUCUGAUGGAGCAACGCCGCGUGUGUGAUGAAGGCUUUCGGGUCGUAAAGCACUGUUGUAUGGGAAGAAAUGCUAGUCUAGGAAAUGAGCUUAGUUUGACGGUACCAUACCAGAAAGGGACGGCUAAAUACGUGCCAGCCGCCGCGGUAA
rnacentral:rRNA from 1 species